rnacentral:lncRNA from 1 species
UUAUUCUAGAACUAAAAGUCUCCAAAGAAUGCCAAAACCGGUAGCCAGGAAAUGUUGGCUGAUGAAUAUCUCCUCAGAAUGUGAGUGAGAACAAUCUAGAACUCUGUAGUAGCUCAUUGUGAAGCUACAAAGAUGUGAGGUUCAGUAACUCCAGACCUUUCAGUUUUACCGAAGAUGAAAUUUUCCAGAAUCCCAAAGAAGAUGAAUAAUGGAUCAGGAAUGGCUUGAACCUGUGUCAAAGUCAGAUAUUUGAUAUUAUUUAUCAACUUAGUUAGAAAUCCUAUCUUCAGAAGAACUCCUCCAUGGAGGUCAUUGAAAAACACAGUUUUUGCAUCAGAUGAAUAAGCUCCUUGAGGACAAACGCUGAAUCACCUUUACAUCUUUUGAGAAUCACAAAUUUUCUACAUAAGCACUUUAUAAAUAUUUGUCAGGUGAGUGAAUAAAUUAAAAAAGUAUUUAAUCAAUGAAAAUAAUGCUAAAUCC